rnacentral:rRNA from 1 species
AGAGUGAACGCUGGCGGUAGGCCUAACACAUGCAAGUCGAACGGCAGCACGGUAAGAGCUUGCUCUUAUGGGUGGCGAGUGGCGGACGGGUGAGGAAUACAUCGGAAUCUACCUUUUGGUGGGGGAUAACGUAGGGAAACUUACGCUAAUACCGCAUACGCCCUUCGGGGGAAAGCCGGGGACCAGCAAUGGCCUGGUGCUGAUAGAUGAGCCGAUGUCGGAUUAGCUUAGUUGGUGAAGGUAAUGGCUCAACCGAAGGCGACGAUCCGUAG